GCGGCCUCGCACCCUGGGUGGGCGGUGCGCCCCGCGGGCCGCCGUUGGGCUGGGGGCGGGGCCAGGAGGUCUGGGGCGCCGGCGCCUCGCCCGCGCUCUGAGAGGCGGGCGCGGAGGGAGAACCCGGCCCUUCCCCUGCCCCCGUGGGGAGGGGGGUGAGCAGAUCCGAGUCCUCGAGGCCUUGCGCCUGAGGGAGGGACGGGGUUCUGCCGCCCACUGGACUCGGCAGCCCUGGCCCGCCUGCCCACCUCCGUCUGCUCUCGCAGACGGAGAGGGGGCCCUGACCCCUCAACCUCCUAGGACCUCAAUUCAAGGUCAGAACUCCGCCCUCCUCAGCCCUGCUCCACUACCUGUCUCGGCGGGCGGGCGCGCACCUGGGCGAGGCUCGGGACCGAGCGAGCCUGAGGUUCUCACCUGCCUUUAGCAUCAGGCUGAAUUUCAACUUGAUAUUAGUUCCUGAAAAACACCAUAACACCGGUUUUGCAUAGAAGUUUUUGAUUUCUCAUUUGGAAUAAAUGAGGAAGGCUAAAAUCCCGAUUCAAGCUUUACCUGUCAACCUGCUUUCCAAUUAUGAAUUUAGAAUGUGAAUAGAGCAAAAGACUGACGUCUCCUGAGGAAGAAGCCUCCUGCCUGAUGGGUCUUCAAACUAGAACAUCACCUUUUCCUGCCCGAUGAACUGGACACCAUUCUUCCUGGUUCUACAGCUGCCUGCUGGCCUUGUGACUCAAAAUGGGCAUUGGCUCUGCAGAUUUUGGAUGUGCCAGCUUCCAUAACUUUAUUAAUUAAUUCCCUACAAUAAAUCUUUCUCUUUUUCUG